UACGUAGGGGGCAAGCGUUGUCCGGAUUUAUUGGGCGUAAAGAGCGUGUAGGCGGCCUGACAGGUCUGCUGUGAAAACUCGAGGCUCAACCUCGAGAUGUCGGCGGAAACCGUCUGGCUAGAGUCCGGAAGAGGAGAGUGGAAUUCCCGGUGUAGCGGUGAAAUGCGCAGAUAUCGGGAAGAACACCCGUGGCGAAGGCGGCUCUCUGGGACGGUACCGACGCUGAGACGCGAAAGCGUGGGGAGCGAACAGG
rnacentral:rRNA from 1 species